rnacentral:rRNA from 1 species
AGGGCGCAUGGUGAAUGCCUUGGCACUAGGAGCCGAUGAAGGACGGGACUAACACCGAUAUGCUUCGGGGAGCUGUACGUAAGCUAUGAUCCGGAGAUUUCCGAAUGGGGCAACCCAGCAGUUUUAAUCAACUGUUACCACUAGAUGAAUUCAUAGUCUAGUUGGAGGUAAACGCUGUGAACUGAAACAUCUCAUUAGCAGCAGGAAUAUAAAGAAAUUUCGAUUCCCUAAGUAGCGGCGAGCGAACGGGGAACAGCCCAAACCAAAGUGCUUGCACUUUGGGGUUGUAGGACUGAACAUUUGAGUUACCAAAGAACUUGAUAGUCGAAGGAUUUGGGAAAAUCCGCCAUAGAUGGUGAUAGCCCAGUAGAUUAAAUCAAAUUCUCUCAGUUCAGGAUCCUGAGUACGGCGGAACACGUGAAAUUCCGUCGGAAUCCGGGAGGACCAUCUCCCAAGGCUAAAUACUACCUAGUGACCGAUAGUGAACCAGUACCGUGAGGGAAAGGUGAAAAGCACCCCGGGAGGGGAGUGAAAUAGUUCCUGAAACCAUGUGCCUACAAUAAGUCAGAGCGCGUUAAUGCGUGAUGGCGUGCCUUUUGUAGAAUGAACCGGCGAGUUAUGAUCCCGUGCAAGGUUAAGACUAAAAAGUCGGAGCCGUAGCGAAAGCGAGUCUGAAAUGGGCGUUUUGAGUACGAGGUUAUAGACCCGAAACCAGGUGACCUAUCCAUGUCCAGGUUGAAGGUGCGGUAAAACGCACUGGAGGACCGAACCCGUGUAAGUUGAAAAUUGCUGGGAUGAGGUGUGGAUAGCGGUGAAAUUCCAAACGAACUUGGAGAUAGCUGGUUCUCUCCGAAAUAGCUUUAGGGCUAGCCUCGGAAUUAGGAUCAUGGAGGUAGAGCACUAUUUGGACUAGGGGCCCGUCUUGGGUUACUGAAUUCAGAUAAACUCCGAAUGCCAUUGAUUCAUAUCCGGGAGUCAGACGAUGAGUGAUAAGAUCCACCGUCGAAAGGGGAACAGCCCAGACCAUCAGUUAAGGUCCCUAAAUGUAUGCUAAGUGGAAAAGGAUGUGGAGUUGCAUAGACAACUAGGAUGUUGGCUCAGAAGCAGCCACCAUUUAAAGAGUGCGUAAUAGCUCACUAGUCGAGUGAUCCUGCGCCGAAAAUGUACCGGGGCUAAGCAUACUACCGAAACCAUGGAUGCGACCAUUAGGUCGCGUGAUAGGAGAGCGUUCUAAGGGCGGUGAAGCAAGAUCGUGAGGACUUGUGGAGCGCUUAGAAGUGAGAAUGCCGGUAUGAGUAGCGAAAGAUAGGUGAGAAUCCUAUCCACCGAAUGACUAAGGUUUCCUAGGGAAGGCUCGUCCUCCCAGGGUUAGUCGGGACCUAAGUCGAGGCCGAGAGGCGUAGACGAUGGAUAACAGGUUGAGAUUCCUGUACUAGUUAAGUGCGUUUGAGCAAUGGAGGGACGCAGGAGGCUAAGAUGUGCAUUCUGUUGGAUUAGAAUGUCCAAGCAGUAAGUCUUGUGAAGAGUCAAAUGCUUUUCACUUUAAGGACAAGCUGUGAUGGGGAGCGAAAUUUAGUAGCGAAGCGUCUGAUGUCACACUGCCGAGAAAAGCUUCUAGUGAGUACUUAACUACCCGUACCGCAAACCGACACAGGUAGUCGAGGAGAGAAUCCUAAGGUGAGCGAGUGAACUCUCGUUAAGGAACUCGGCAAAAUGACCCCGUAACUUCGGGAGAAGGGGUGCUGAUCGCAAGAUCAGCCGCAGUGAAUAGGCCCAGGCGACUGUUUAUCAAAAACACAGGUCUCUGCAAAAUCGUAAGAUGACGUAUAGGGGCUGACGCCUGCCCGGUGCUGGAAGGUUAAAAGGAUGGGUUAGCUUCGGCGAAGCUCAGAAUUGAAGCCCCAGUAAACGGCGGCCGUAACUAUAACGGUCCUAAGGUAGCGAAAUUCCUUGUCGGGUAAGUUCCGACCCGCACGAAAGGCGUAACGAUCUGGGCACUGUCUCAACGAGAGACUCGGUGAAAUUAUAUUGUCCGUGAAGAUGCGGACUACCCGCGACAGGACGGAAAGACCCCAUGGAGCUUUACUGUAGCUUGAUAUUGAGUGUUUGUACAGCUUGUACAGGAUAGGUAGGAGCCAUAGAAACCGGAACGCUAGUUUCGGUGGAGGCGUUGGUGGGAUACUACCCUCGCUGUAUGACCACUCUAACCCGCACCACUAAUCGUGGUGGGAGACAGUGUCAGGUGGGCAGUUUGACUGGGGCGGUCGCCUCCUAAAAAGUAACGGAGGCGCCCAAAGGUUCCCUCAGAAUGGUUGGAAAUCAUUCGCAGAGUGUAAAGGCACAAGGGAGCUUGACUGCGAGACAGACAGGUCGAGCAGGGACGAAAGUCGGGCUUAGUGAUCCGGUGGUACCGUAUGGAAGGGCCAUCGCUCAACGGAUAAAAGCUACCCUGGGGAUAACAGGCUUAUCUCCCCCAAGAGUCCACAUCGACGGGGAGGUUUGGCACCUCGAUGUCGGCUCAUCGCAUCCUGGGGCUGUAGUCGGUCCCAAGGGUUGGGCUGUUCGCCCAUUAAAGCGGUACGCGAGCUGGGUUCAGAACGUCGUGAGACAGUUCGGUCCCUAUCCGUCGCGGGCGUAGGAAAUUUGAGAGGACCUGUCCUUAGUACGAGAGGACCGGGAUGGACAUACCUCUGGUGUACCAGUUGUGCCGCCAGGCGCAUCGCUGGGUAGCUACGUAUGGAUGUGAUAAACGCUGAAAGCAUCUAAGUGUGAAACACACCUCGAGAUGAGAUUUCCCAUUCCUUUAU